UUUCCGCAUAAUAUAUUAUUGUAGUCAUCAUUUAAAGAGUUUCCACAAGCUAAGAAAGAUUAAUCAUUUGCCAUUUACCAGGAAAACAGUAAGUAGCUAUCUAUGAAUUCUUUACAAUUAGCGAAGAACUUGACUCUAUAAUAGCUCCUUUUCAGGUUCCAUGUUCCAUCAAAUUCACAAUUAUCGCCCAACGACAACAAACAGAUGAACUAAACCAGUAAGGGCUGCCACGACUCUCAAACUUUUCAUCUCUUUUCUCCUCAAGGUCAUACCAAAUAACGGUCUCACAAUCUUGCGUCUAAAAAGAUAUUGGAACAAUAAUUUUAUAUUUAUUAUAUUAAAACAAAUUAAGUUACAAGAUUUCAAAUUAUAAUUUUAUUUUUGAAUAUAUUACUUCCCGCACUGCUCACAUAAUCCAAUGAACAUACAUACACAGGACAAACACCAUUUUUCUUCAUAUUUUGGCAAUUGGCAUAUAUCCAUGCUAUGCCAUUGCAAGAAAAAGUUUAAUUAAUCAACCAGAGACUUCAAUGGCCUUCACAUCAGGUUUCUUCACUUCCUCCUUAGGAAUAGUCACUGUAAGAACCCCAUUCUCCAUGGAGGCCUUCACUUCAUUCAUCUUUGCAUUUUCCGGCAGCCUGAACCUCCUCAAG
rnacentral:misc_RNA from 1 species